rnacentral:lncRNA from 1 species
AAUGUGAAAGGUUCAAACAAAGUUGGAACGACAAAGCUCAGCUGGAGCUUUUUGUGGUUUCUUAUAAUCGCAGUGGGUGUUGCAGGUCUUUCCGGAUAUGCCGCCUACAAAUACAGGAUCAGGGUAUGUUAUGCUACUCUCUUUACCAUAAUACAUAUAUUAUGGAGUUUUUGCCAUGUAGAUAAGAUGUUUGAAGUAACAAAAAAGAAAACAAUGGUGCAGAGAUACAUGGAUGCGGAAAUAAGAGGGAUCAUGGCACAGUACAUGCCUUUGGAAAGCCAACCCAAUCCACGUGGUCCGCAUAUGGAUAUAUGAGUGAAGUUAUCAACACAAAACCAAGAGACUCUCUCUUAUCUGUAGGAAGCUUCUUCUAUGUUUCUAUGUAAAUGAAUGUAUAAGACUCUGAGAAAAGCCAC